UCGAAUUUUAACUUGUUGAUUUAAACCAGAGCCAGCAAAUUUUGGUUUGUAGUACCGUUCCUCAAGUGCAUGAUGAUCUAGCAAAGGCAUGUGCUACUGAACAGCAUGUUCCGUAGGAUGCCUGCAGAAAGCAAUGCAAAUGGAUUUCCACAUCUAACUUCUUUUUGUUCUUUUGCAAAUGAACUAUUGGUUAUCACAGGUUCUCCAACAGCAGAGGCAAGAUCUCCUGGCAAUGUGAAUUUAGUUCAGGUGGAUGGUAGCAACGGUAGUGUAAACACAUUAAUCUAUCCAUAUAUGCGACUGAAAGUAGAUUCAAGUGAUCCUGCGACAGACAUAGAUGUAUCGAAAAGAGAGGUACCCUUUUGCUUUCAUCUGAAUUGUGAUGCCUUCAUGUGGUAUUUCGGGCUUUCUGCAAAUCUUUUUGAGGGAAAGUUUCUGAUGCCAUAACACUAUUUUGAUAUCAUCUAGGCUUACUUAAGU
rnacentral:lncRNA from 1 species